GGUAUCUUAGUUCAGUUGGUUAGAACGCUAGCCUGUCACGCUAGAGGUCAGGGGUUCAAGUCCCCUAGGUAUCGCCA
rnacentral:tRNA from 1 species